GGCGGAGUAGCAAAAUGGCAAUGCACCAGCUUGCAACGCUGGGGAAGCCGGUUCGAUUCCGGCAUCCGCCUGCA
rnacentral:tRNA from 1 species